GAUGAACGCUGGCGGCGUGCCUAAUACAUGCAAGUCGAACGCUGGAAAUCUAGCUUGCUAGAUUGAAGGAGUGGCGAACGGGUGAGUAAUACAUAAGCAACCUACCCACGAAGACUGGGAUAAUCUCUGGAAACGGGGACUAAUACCGGAUAGGUAAUCGGAAGGCAUCUUCUGAUUAUUAAAGGUUAAAAACACUGGUGGAUGGGCUUAUGGCGCAUUAGUUAGUUGGUGAGGUAACGGCCCACCAAGACGAUGAUGCGUAGCCGGCCUGAGAGGGUGAACGGCCACAUUGGGACUGAGACACGGCCCAGACUCCUACGGGAGGCAGCAGUAGGGGAUUUUCGGCAAUGGGGGAAACCCUGACCGAGCAACGCCGCGUGAGUGAUGACGGCCUUCGGGUUGUAAAGCUCUGUUGUAAGGGAAGAACGGUAGAUAGAGAAUAUCUAAAUGACGGUACCUUACCAGAAAGCCACGGCUAACUACGUG
rnacentral:rRNA from 1 species